UCUUCAAUUUUGCUACAUCAGUCAUUCUGUUUUUGGGCUGUAUUCUUAUUUAUUAUACUUUUAGUUUCCGACAAAUUUUUUUAUUAGAUUUAUUGCAGGAGGAAUAUUGAUGUAGCUUUCAUUGCUUCUUGAUCAAUCACGAAUCUAUUUGAUAUGUGAUGACCAAGUGGCGAUAGUAAUUUUGUUUGUGUUAGAGGCCGGUUCAGCCAGAGACCAUUGGUGAAGCAUCUUCAUCUUGAAGGACUGGACCAUUAGGAAUGAGUGGGAAUGGUAACAGUUUAAUGGCUUUUUCUAAAGUUCGGUCCAAGUCCUGAUUGAUUGACGACUAUAGGUAGCUAAAUCAUGACUUCAUGAGAGUGUCUGGUCAGAAAAGAGUACCCAUGCAUAUAUAUUGCUCCAUCUUGGAAGCUAUACAGAUGAUAUCUUCUAUUGUUUGAAUGAUUCCUCUGAGAAAAAAAAAAAACUUUGAUUAUCUGACGAAUUGUCAAUGUUUGAUUCACUUCUUUAGUUCUUUAUCCUACAGUUCUUUGUAGGUAACUAGGUAUGUAGCUUCUCUCAAUAUACGCUAAAUUCUGCAACAAUCA